rnacentral:rRNA from 1 species
GUAGGGGGCAAGCGUUAUCCGGAUUUACUGGGUGUAAAGGGAGCGUAGACGGCUGUGCAAGUCUGAAGUGAAAGGCAUGGGCUCAACCUGUGGACUGCUUUGGAAACUGUGCAGCUAGAGUGUCGGAGAGGUAAGUGGAAUUCCUAGUGUAGCGGUGAAAUGCGUAGAUAUUAGGAGGAACACCAGUGGCGAAGGCGGCUUACUGGACGAUGACUGACGUUGAGGCUCGAAAGCGUGGGGAGCAAACAGGAUUAGAUACCCUGGUAGUCCACGCCGUAAACGAUGACUGCUAGGUGUCGGGUAGCUAAGCUAUUCGGUGCCGCAGCUAACGCAAUAAGCAGUCCACCUAA